AUGAGACUUAGUGACAUUAGCGACCCAGAGACAAACAGUUCAUUAACCAAUAACUUCCUUUACAAAAUAUACUAAAUCUGACAAUAUGCAAUUUGGUAGAAGAAAUAUCUUGUAUCUUAAAUAAAGAAAUUGUUCAUCUCUUGAUCAUAAUAUAGUACUGAUCUAGAAAUUAUUGAUUUCUUCCUUUCAUUUGUAUUCAUUAGAGGUCUUAUGUAUUCCUCCUUUUAAAAAAAAAGCAAGUACCUUUUUUCUAGUUCUAAAAUAUUGUUCUUAUUCUUUCUUUUAUUUGAAUUUUCCAUAGACAUUUUCUUAUCUUGUCAGUUUCUGGAUCUUGCACUGAUUUCAAGAUCUGACUGGCUCCUUUUGUUUUCUCUUGAAUUUCAACACAGAUUGACUGACUGACUUCUCCAUAUCUGAAUCCCUGACAAAAUUGACCCUUCAUUUCAUUUUUUCCUGGGGAAAGACCUGAUGUUUAUGAACUAUUGUCUUUUGUUGAUGUCUUCUCUUUAAUUCUUUGAUACCUAUCUCCUGUUUUUAAUACUUCAAUGUUUUAUUCCAUAGAGGACAAGAAUCUCUAGGCUGCAUGAUACAAUAUUUUUUUUAUUGUUUAUGUUUCCACCUAGUGUGUCACUCCCUCCAAAUUCCUUUCUCUGUUGUUGUUUUUUGCACAACACAGGAAUUUUCAAGUGAAGAAAGACACACUACAUCUGACUCAAAUUCCUAUCAUUCACAUAAUUGAGAAUCACCAUAUUAGUGAAGUGCCAAAAAGCAAAGCUCUGUAAAAGCAAGGUAUGCCAGUAUUUAGUCAUUGAAUGUGCAUGUAAAUGCAUAUUGCAAUUUCAGUAUGAAAUUUUUAUUUCCUUCUAAAAAUAUUUUUCUUGAAAUUAGUAAUAUUGGACAGCAAUUUGGUUUUGGAUAAUGACACACAUCAAUAAUGGAACAAUUAACAAAAAUUGUUUUUGACAGUAGAAGUAAAGUAUUGUAUAUAAUCACAAUGGGAAGAAGAAAACAUAUCAAUCAGACAAUUAUGGUUUAUUGGAUAUGCAGUAGUUAUAUAUUUACAGAAAUAUAUUUCUGUAUCUUACUUCUCUUUAAACAUUUAGUAUCAGAUUUAUAUUUUUUUAAAUAUGUGCUAAGACUUUUCAUCUGCU
rnacentral:lncRNA from 1 species